rnacentral:rRNA from 1 species
GUGUCAGUAUCAGUCCAGGUGGUCGCCUUCGCCACUGGUGUUCCUUCCUAUAUCUACGCAUUUCACCGCUACACAGGAAAUUCCACCACCCUCUACCGUACUCUAGCUUGCCAGUUUUGGAUGCAGUUCCCAGGUUGAGCCCGGGGCUUUCACAUCCAACUUAACAAACCACCUACGCGCGCUUUACGCCCAGUAAUUCCGAUUAACGCUUGCACCCUCUGUAUUACCGCGGCUGCUGGCACAGAGUUAGCCGGUGCUUAUUCUGUCGGUAACGUCAAAACAGCAAGGUAUUAACUUACUGCCCUUCCUCCCAACUUAAAGUGCUUUACAAUCCGAAGACCUUCUUCACACACGCGGCAUGGCUGGAUCAGGCUUUCGCCCAUUGUCCAAUAUUCCCCACUGCUGCCUCCCGUAGGAGUCUGGACCGUGUCUCAGUUCCAGUGUGACUGAUCAUCCUCUCAGACCAGUUACGGAUCGUCGCCUUGGUGAGCCAUUACCCCACCAACUAGCUAAUCCGACCUAGGCUCAUCUGAUAGCGCAAGGCCCGAAGGUCCCCUGCUUUCUCCCGUAGGACGUAUGCGGUAUUAGCGUUCCUUUCGAAACGUUGUCCCCCACUACCAGGCAGAUUCCUAGGCAUUACUCACCCGUCCGCCGCUGAAUCAAGGAGCAAGCUCCCGUCAUCCGCUCGAC